rnacentral:rRNA from 1 species
UACGUAGGGUGCAAGCGUUGUCCGGAAUUAUUGGGCGUAAAGAGCUCGUAGGCGGUUUGUCGCGUCUGCUGUGAAAACUGGAGGCUCAACCUCCAGCCUGCAGUGGGUACGGGCAGACUAGAGUGUGGUAGGGGAGACUGGAAUUCUUGGUGUAGCGGUGAAAUGCGCAGAUAUCAGGAGGAACACCGGUGGCGAAGGCGGGUCUCUGGGCCAUUACUGACACUGAGGAGCGAAAGCGUGGGGAGCAAACAGG